UACGUAGGGAGCAAGCGUUGUCCGGAAUCAUUGGGCGUAAAGGGCGCGUAGGCGGCACUGUUAGUCAGUCGUGAAAUUCCUGGGCUCAACCUGGGGACUGCGCUUGAUACGGCAGAGCUUGAGGAUGGAAGAGGGUCGCGGAAUUCCCAGUGUAGAGGUGAAAUUCGUAGAUAUUGGGAAGAACACCGGUGGCGAAGGCGGCGAGCUGGUCCAGUACUGACGCUGAGGCGCGACAGCGUGGGGAGCAAACAGG
rnacentral:rRNA from 1 species